UACAGAGGGGGCAAGCGUUGUUCGGAAUUACUGGGCGUAAAGGGCGCGUAGGCGGCCUUCUAAGUCGAACGUGAAAUCCCCGGGCUCAACCCGGGAACUGCGUCCGAUACUGGAAGGCUUGAAUCCGGGAGAGGGAUGUGGAAUUCCAGGUGUAGCGGUGAAAUUCGUAGAUAUCGAGAAGAACACCGGUGGCGAAGGCGGUCGACUGGGCCAGUACUGACGCUGAGGCGCGACAGCGUGGGGAGCAAACAGG
rnacentral:rRNA from 1 species